GGGGGUGACGCCUGCCCGGUGCUGGAAGGUUAAGAGGAUUUGUCAUCCGCAAGGAGAAGCAAUGAAUUGAAGCCCCAGUGAACGGCGGCCGUAACUAUAACGGUCCUAAGGUAGCGAAAUUCCUUGUCAGGUAAGUUCUGACCCGCACGAAAGGCGUAACGAUUUGGGCGCUGUCUCGGCAGCAGACUCGGUGAAAUCUUAGUACCUGUGAAAAUGCAGGUUACCCGCAACUAGACGGAAAGACCCCAUGGAGCUUUACUGUAGCCUGAUAUUGAAUUUUGAUCAAAGAUGUACAGGAUAGGUGGGAGGCGAAGAGACGUGUACGCCAGUAUACGAGGAGCCGCUGUUGGGAUACCACUCUUGUUUGAUUGAAGUUCUAACCUGCACCCAUGAACUGGGUGAGGGACCGUGUCAGGUGGGCAGUUUGACUGGGGCGGUCGCCUCCUAAAGAGUAACGGAGGCGCCCAAAGGUACGCUCAGAUUGGAUGGAAAUCAAUCGACGAGUGCAAAUGCAGAAGCGUGCUUGACUGUGAGACAAACAAGUCGAACAGGGACGAAAGUCGGGAUUAGUGAUCCGGCGGUGCCGAAUGGAAGGGCCGUCGCUCAACGGAUAAAAGCUACCCUGGGGAUAACAGGCUGAUCUCCCCCAAGCGUCCACAGCGACGGGGAGGUUUGGCACCUCGAUGUCGGCUCGUCACAUCCUGGGGCUGUAUUCGGUCCCAAGGGUUCGGCUGUUCGCCGAUUAAAGUGGCACGCGAGCUGGGUUCAGAACGUCGUGAGACAGUUCGGUCCCUAUCUGUUGCGGGCGUAAGAGAUUUGAAGGGAGCUGUCCUUAGUACGAGAGGACCGGGAUGGACGUACCUCUGGUGCACCAGUUGUCCUGCCAAGGGCAUAGCUGGGUAGCUAUGUACGGACGAGAUAAACGCUGAAGGCAUCUAAGCGUGAAACUCCCCCUAAGAUUAGAUCUCUCAUUCGAAAGAAGUAAGGCACGACGUAGACUAUGUCGUUGAUAGGCCGGAGGUGGAAGCACGGUAACGUGUGCAGCUGACCGGUACUAAUAAGCCGAGGGCUUGACCU
rnacentral:rRNA from 1 species